rnacentral:siRNA from 1 species
UAUAGGCUUUACAAAAUCUGCCA